UUUGAAAUUAGCAGUAGUCAGCCUUUUCUUAUUAGUUCCUUAUACUGCUGAUUUUUAAUGAUGAGAAUGAUUUAACAAAAGAUUUGCUAAUUUUGUUAAUUGGAAAGCUUGAUAAAGGUUGGAUUUCUGUUUUAUUAGACCUAAUAAAAUGUAUUUUCUUUUGGGAUUUAGUUAUUCCCCCAACACAGAGAAAGGGACGAGACGAAACAAAAAGAGAGAGAGAGAGAGACAAGAGAACAGGCAAGAACGAAAAGAAGGAGAAGAGAGAGACGGGAAGCUCUUGCUUAUAUUGCUACUUUGUCUAUGUAAUUUUGCUGAUGGAGAUCUUCAACAUCAGUGGUUAUUUGUUUGGAACAAAUAAACACUACAGACUGAAAGCACACUGGAAGAUCACAUGAUGAUAGUUACUGAUGUUGGAUUUAGAACAAAUCUCCUAAACAGAAUAAGGACAAGUAUGAUCGUAGAGUUCUACGAGUUCAGAGUCGAUGAGUAAAAUAGAGGCAAUGUUUGAAGCUGAACUUGAGAGGUUAGGGCUAAACAGCAGUACUUCUACUUUGGAGCGAAGAUUAAUUUGAGAGCUUCCAAACAGUGUUCAUCAAGUUUCUGAAGAUUACAUUUGGGAAAACUCUAAUACUUUACAGGCCAGUGUUUACAUCAGAGGAAGUCAAGCCAUAACAUCAACAACUAGAACUUGCCUGGUGGCUCCAAAUGAUCACAGAACACUAAGCCUAGAUGCUUUACAAAAGAAUGCACCAACUGUGAAGAACAGACUGCUGCUGUUUGAUUUGUAGCACCAUCGAGGUGGAAGCAGCUUCUCAGGAUUAUGCUCAUGUCAAAGCGUCCUAAAAUCCCCCCUUCUGGCCCAAGCCACAGGACCAACAAGACACCUAAUCCCUCAAGAGAUUACUAAACACUUCUAUUAUUUGUAUACAGAGAACAGCAUUUCCAACUGAAGUUUGGUUGAAUUUUUUGGCAAACUUCUUCAUGUGUUUCUGAUUUUGUUUGAUGGGUUUGAUUAUUCUUCUAUCGUUU